rnacentral:rRNA from 1 species
UAAUCGCGAAUCAGAAUGUCGCGGUGAAUACGUUCCCGGGCCUUGUACACACCGCCCGUCACACCAUGAGAGUCGAUAACACCCGAAGCCUGUGAGCUAACCUUAGGGAGGCAGCAGUCGAAGGUGGGGUUGAUGAUUAGGGUGAAGUCGUAACAAGGUAUC